CCUGAUGGAGGGGGAUAACUACUGGAAACGGUAGCUAAUACCGCAUAACGUCGCAAGACCAAAGAGGGGGACCUUCGGGCCUCUUGCCAUCAGAUGUGCCCAGAUGGGAUUAGCUAGUAGGUGGGGUAACGGCUCACCUAGGCGACGAUCCCUAGCUGGUCUGAGAGGAUGACCAGCCACACUGGAACUGAAACACGGUCCAUACUCCUACGGGAGGCAGCAGUGGGGAAUAUUGCACAAUGGGCGCAAGCCUGAUGCAGCCAUGCCGCGUGUAUGAAGAACGCCUUCGGGUUGUAAAGUACUUUCAGCGGGGAGGAAGGUGUUGUGGUUAAUAACCGCAGCAAUUGACGUUACCCGCAGAAGAAGCACCGGCUAACUCCGUGCCAGCAGCCGCGGUAAU
rnacentral:rRNA from 1 species